CCCUAGGAACAGAAACCCGGCAAAUCCCAAGGCAAUAGCUAUGUCGGCCUGAACACAGAACCCGUUAGACGCCGUGCACGUGUCGAUCCUUUUCAGCGCUUUGGCUAGGGCCGUUCCUGCCGAGUCCGCAGACAGAAGGAGUACACAGAGAGAGAAAGAGAGAGAGAGAGAGAGAGGGAAUGUGAACCUGGUCGUGGCCGAAAUCGAACCAGACCUGUAAGAUUUCGGGAAAGAGAGUAGCUCCUCUUGAUAUUUCCCAAACCGAAGCUACCAUUUCGAACAGAGAGUACACCGCCACUAUCGCAUUCGCUGCGAAUACGAAUCUGCAACAGCAUGUUUUUUUUCUGUGACGCGUCACGCGCUCAGGGAUGCGUGGUAAUCGACCAUUUCUGUUUCACUAUUGGAUUGGGUUCUGGGCUUUCUGGUAUGUUCCCCAUCUGCCUCUUCUUCUUUUGUUAUUAUUUUUAUUUUCUUUAAUAUAUAUAUAUAUAUAUAUAUAUAUUUUUUUUGUGAUUUUGUUGUUGAGGUUUUGCUUUCAAUUUCAUGACAUGGUUGAAAAAGAGUCGAAGGGGCUCCAUAGCAAAACUAUUUUUUUAUUGGUUGCCUUUCUUUAUCCAUUCACUCUUUUGGGGAAAAAAAAAAAAAAUCCACUUUUUCUGUAUGUAUUUUCUUUUCUUUUUGGGUUAUACCUUUCACAUUUUUCUUAAAAUUGACACGCAAAAAAAAAAAAAAAAAACAAAAAAAAAAUCUAGAAGGGACAUAAUGGAAUCUCAUGACAGACAUUAUUUUGCUGUAUUUGUCAAACUUUCUUUAUUUUUUGUUUUAUAGUUAAGUACUAGAAUUUAUAUGUCCCAAAAAAAAAAUUAGAAUUUGUAUAAAAAUUACUGAAUUAAUUUGCUUAAUUGUAUUUUGAUAAAUAUAAUAACCCUUGUUAAAAGAUAAUAUUUAGUUCCUAUUCACCAUGUCAUUUUGCUUGCUUACAAAGCGUGUUUGGAUGUGUUUUUUGAAAUUCUAAUAAAUGCUUUUAGAGUGAAAAUAGGUGCUUUUAAGAGAAACAUCAAGGUUGGUACUUCUUUAAAUAAAUAUUUUACGAUUUUAAAAAAAAAAAAGUCAUUUAAUGUAUUAGUUAAAAUAUAAAAAUAUCAAAAAUAAAUUUAAAAAUAUUUUUUUAUUAUAUAUGGUUUAUUAUUUUAUCAUUUAUUUUAUGAAGCAUUUAUUAAUAAAGAUACUACAAAAAUAAGUGCUUAUUAAAUUGUAUUUUCAAACAUGCCUGUGGUAGAAUGGCAAUUUUAUUUAUUACUUAUUAAAUAUGAAAUACAGAGAUUAUAAUUUUUUUUAAUUGUAUUAAAUUUUAAUAGAGAGCCAAGUGCAUAAAGCUAAAUAUAGAUAAAUCGAAAUACCACCUGGUAGCCUCACGAGUACCAUAGUAUAAUGGAAAUAUAUAUAUAUAUAUAUAUAUAUAUAUAUUUAUAUAUAUUAUUGGCAAUUUUAUAGUAUGGACUGGAAUUGAAAAGAUAUAGGUGGGGGCAGAGAUUUGAAAAUGGUAAUGCUCAUUUGGUGGGUGAUCAUAGUGAACAAGGGGGUCGAAAGAAAAUAAAAAUCCCGUGACAAUGAUUAAAGGGUAUAAGACUGUUUUGAUGAUUUAACUUUUUGUUUACAAGUGCAGUCGUGUUAUUCGGUACCUUCUCCAAGCCUUUUUCACAUCCUUUCCUGUCAACAAAACCUAGGAACCGUUCUUCCAACACCAUUCAAUGGUGGUCAUCAUUAUGUUACCAACACCCUUUGAUAUUUACACCCAAGGGGGUGGAUCAAAUGGAAGAAAGCUGCAGUUGCGGGUUUAAUUCUUAACAAGUUCUAUUUAAAUUUUGGUGUGAUCGCAUGUUUGUAUAUCACUGUGGAAGAGGAUGAUAGAGACCGUGGAUAAGGUAGUUUGCGGAUUUUCCAGAAUUAGCACGAUGCAAACUACCUAUUGAUCCUUAAAGCCUGGACCGAUGAUACUCACCAAGAGGAUCUUUUUAUUAAAAAAAAAAAAAAAAACACCUUUUGAUAUUUACAUUGGAUUAUCUUAACCAAUUCUUCGAUAUAUGUAUAUAUAUUCUUAGGUGGUAUAAUAGAAAACCAUUCGAUCCUCUCAUCAGUUUUUUGAAUUGUUUUAAGUUUUUAGAUUUAAAAAUGUAUUUAGAAUUCAAUAAUAUGUAUUUGACCCAAUUAGGAUAUAUUAAUGUUAUAAGAUUGGAAACAGUUCAAAUAGUCAAGGUAAAUAGAUUAUUUUUAUUUUAACAUGA